AAGUCGUAACAAGGUUUCCGUAGGUGAACCUGCGGAAGGAUCAUUAUAGUAUAUUGAAUUCUUAUUCAUAUCAACCCACACUGUGUACCUUUUAUCUGUUGCUUCCAUGGGACAUGGCUCUGCCACGUCGGCCUUCGGGCUGGUGAGUUCCCAUGGAAGGAAACCCAAUACUCUUUUUAUUUUUGACAUCUGUCUGAAUAGUUUUUAUAAACGUUAAAACUUUCAACAACGGAUCUCUUGGUUCUC
rnacentral:misc_RNA from 1 species